ACAUGUCUCUUCCUUCCUUUUAUUUUUCCUCCCGAAUCGCCUACUUUUUUCCCUUUAUUUUUUGUGUUUGUUUUCUUCUUUCUGUUGGUCCCUUUCCUUCCCCUCUCUUAUCUGGAUCUUCGAACGCAGCUUCCCAUCUAGAUGCGUCGCAGCCGCCGCGUCGCCGGAGGGCCCUGCCCCAUAUCUCGUCACCCGGUAAGCCCACGUGCAAUUCUGUUUUUCUUUAAAUUUAUUUUUCAAAUUUAAAACCAAAAGUUCAGGGAAUAAAAAUUUUGAAAACCAAAAGUCAGGAAAAUUAAAAGUUCAAAAAAAUAAAUCAAAAGUUAUAAACAAGAAUUAAAAGUAACAAAAAAAAUCUCAUUCCGACAGAUUUGUAAGCUGACGGAACUUAUCCAGCAAAUUCCGUCUUCGUGGUCGUCCGCCAACUAGCCCAACCCG
rnacentral:lncRNA from 1 species